UACAGAGGUCUCAAGCGUUGUUCGGAUUCAUUGGGCGUAAAGGGUGUGUAGGUGGCGCCGUAAGUGGGGUGUGAAAUUUCGAGGCUUAACCUCGAAACUGCAUUCCAUACUGCGGUGCUUGAGGACUGGAGAGGAGACUGGAAUUUACGGUGUAGCGGUGAAAUGCGUAGAUAUCGUAAGGAAGACCAGUGGCGAAGGCGGGUCUCUGGACAGUUCCUGACGCUGAGGCACGAAGGUCAGGGGAGCAAACGGG
rnacentral:rRNA from 1 species